rnacentral:rRNA from 1 species
UACGUAGGGUGCAAGCGUUAAUCGGAAUUACUGGGCGUAAAGCGUGCGUAGGCGGCUAUGUAAGACAGAUGUGAAAUCCCCGGGCUUAACCUGGGAACUGCAUUUGUGACUGCAUGGCUGGAGUGCGGCAGAGGGGUAUGGAAUUCCGCGUGUAGCAGUGAAAUGCGUAGAUAUCUGGAGGAACACCGGUGGCGAAGGCGGCAUCCUGGACCGGCAUUGACGCUGAGGCGCGAAAGCCAGGGGAGCAAACGGG